rnacentral:tRNA from 1 species
GGAAGAGUGUCCGAGUGGUUUAAGGAACUGGUCUUGAAAACCAGCGAUGGGGUAACCCAUCCGUGGGUUCGAAUCCCACCUCUUCCG